CUGAUUUGUUUUCAUGGAUCCUGUGCCUCUGGCAGAACAGAGAGGAGAAUCUGCCUUUUACUUGUACCGCCAGCUUCUCCCAGGAUAGGGCUUAUGUUCUGAUAGCUUCGGUAAAUAACUGUUGUCUACAUGACUGACUAAGCUUAUGCACAUGAUCUGAAGUUAGUUCCUGAUUUAUCUUGAUUUGUGUUCCUAGGAAGGGGCGACUAAGCCCGAAAUUACAAAACCGGAGUAUGCUACUGGGACUGUAGAAGUGGCUCCGCAGGAGCUGACGGAUCAUAAAACACUGAGCUCUGUUUGUGGAGCACACGGAACUUAUUAUACACUGGCCGACGUGGGACCUGGCGCAGCUCCGGUGUGGCCCGGCAGUACCUACCCACCUGCGGCGGCCUCGGAGGCCCAGAUGGUGUGUCAGUGUGCCACUUUACAGAAGAGAGAGGAAGAGAAUCUUCCUGGGAUGAGGUACAGUCUCUUGUUGUUAAUGUACUUGUAUGACUAUAUAAGUACCAGGGGAUUCUGAGACAUAAACCGGGGGUUGGUGUGAGUGUGCAUUUUCACGUUUGCAUCUGCUGAUGAGAAUUUUUGACUUAUGCUUUUAACUUACAGUUUAGGAUGUGAUUCUGUGCUUAAUGCCGUAGGACUGGAUAAUGCACUUGUGUUCAUUUUCCAGACUCACUUAGUGAAACCAGUGUCUGUGUGGGCAUUCUUUUUUUCAGGGUCUUUCCCUUACAGUUUAUUAGAGGAUAUUGAAAAGAAAAUCAUCCCUGGGAAAGUUAGGUGUAUCUUGGGGUUGGUUUUUGAUUUAGCUGUCCUCAAUUGAAAUUAAUUAAGUGAUGUUUCAUUUUCAAGGCAGCAUGUUUUGUCUUCCCAUUCCACCACAAGUAACAGUGGUCUAGUUCCCUUAAUGCCUUACGCUGUUUCCCACCUGCUCCUUUUACUCAGGCUGCCCUUCCCCAAAGCCCCUCCACAUUCCCCCUCUGCGCUGGAUCUCUCUUUUAUGAAACAGUGCGGUCUUCCCAGCAUUCCCUGAUCUAUCCACGUGCAGCGGACUCUCCUGUCCUUUGUGGCGUUACUGUACCCGUUCACCUCAUUUGUAGAGCUGUUGAAACUUUUCUGUUCUGAUUUGUUUUCAUGGAUCCUGUGCCUCUGGCAGAACAGAGAGGAGAAUCUGCCUUUUACUUGUACCGCCAGCUUCUCCCAGGAUAGGGCUUAUGUUCUGAUAGCUUCGGUAAAUAACUGUUGUCUACAUGACUGACUAAGCUUAUGCACAUGAUCUGAAGUUUGUUCCUGAUUUAUCUUGUUUUGUGUUCCUAGGAAGGGGCGACUAAGCCCGA